rnacentral:lncRNA from 1 species
CUCAAAAUCGUUCAAUUUUUUUUUGUCGUGUUUUUUAAUUUCCGGAUCUGCGCAGAACACAUAACUCAACUUCCUUCUUCCGGUCUUGUUGUCGUGAGACUUUGAUUAGUCUAGUAAAAUAUAGGAACUCAAGGAACACAAUACAAAUAUUUCAUUUUUAAUCAUUCUUUGUCUUUGGUAUGAAUACGCCUACCUGAUGCAUUGCGUUUCUUUGUUUACAUUGAACAUGACGUCAUAACUUAAAUAACGUCACAAGUAAAAUCCCUAACAACAGAACCAAAAUCGGAAACGUUACGGUAUUUCCGUAUCUUUUUUUUUAACAAAUAUUUAAAAUACAAAAAAAUAAUUUAAACAAACUUCGUCCCCAUUCACAGGU